GCAGCAGCGGCAGCGGCAGCAGCAGCAGCAGCAACGGCAGCAUCGGCGGCGGCGGCAGCGGCAGUCAGGAGAAUCAACAGCACGAGCCAAAAGCAGACGGCAGCAGCAGCAAACGAAACCAGAGAGAGGGAGAGAGAGAGAGAGAGAGAGAGAGAGAGAGAGAGAGAGAGCGAGAGACACAGAGUGAAAGAGUGAAAGAGAAAAAUACGAGAGAGGGAGAGAAAGAGGGAGAAAGAACGAGAGAGAGAGAGAGAGAAAGAACGAGAGAGGGUGAGAUUAAGUAGAAGUAAAAACGGUCAGAAGCCGUGUGGAAUGAUGUUGGGAAGCUAAAUGCCUGCUGCUACAGUCUGUAGUACUGCAAGACAUAGUAAGAACUAGUAGUAAAAAAAACACGAUGGUGAUCGUUAACUGUCCAAACAUCACCUCUGUCACUGUUAACAAAACCAAAGCCAAAAUCACCAUCGGUACCAAUAUCAACAACAACAACAAGAAUACAGAUAAUACUACUACUAAUAACAGCUAUAACAAUAAUAGUAAUAAUAGUAAUAAUAGUAAUAGUAUCAAUAAUAGUAAUAAUAGUCAUAAUAAUAGUCAUAAUAAUAGUCAUAAUAAUAAUAAUAAUAGUCAUAAUUCUAGCCAUUUUCAUUGGCGUCGUACGCCAAACAGCAAUGACAUCAAUAAGUGUAGACUCGAGGGCCGCUGUCUCAAAGAUCGCACGAGAAGCAAAUCUUUGUUGCAUUCUAUGGGACUUCUUUACAACAAGGCUUUGUUGAUUAACAUCAUAAUAACCCUGGAAAUUAUACAAGUCGGAUGCUAUUCGGAUAUCAACACGGAAUGUCAUCUUAGCUGCCAGACAUACAGCGAGGUAAGAA
rnacentral:lncRNA from 1 species